AACGAGACACCACCUUCAUGUCGCUGUUCGCUAGUCAACUCAGAGAGAGAAGAAAAGUGUGUAAUUGCAACAGCCCCCAACUUUGAGUGGAUCAGAAAUCCACACAGUGAACCACCAUCAGAACAGUACUAUGUUUAUACAAAGAAAUGUGGACCAAUCUUAAUAGAAUAUGCAAAGAAUGGCUGGCGGAUCUUACUUGGAAUACUCUUUACAUUGGCAACUAUUGAGGUUGCAGCUGUUGUAGCUGUCUUGUUGCUUUGGUAUAAACUUCACACGCGGUCACCAGGUACAAGUCUGUCUGAGGAUAACAACAGCAGGAUGAAGUAUGAGCUCCAGCCGGAAAAAAGGCUCUGACAGGAUCUAAUCCUAAGCACAUAACCUCGUCCCUGCAUGAGUGAGCUCUAUAACCUCAACAUAACAAACUUAUGUGACAUUUUAAAUGCAAGUAGGCUAACACUUUGUGGGGCAGUUACCCACCUUGUGCUGGCAAACAUACAGUAUAAGGAAGUUCCACUAAUAGUGCAGAAAAAAAAUCAAAUUUUUAUUCACAGAUAAAUGAACAAUCAUUCAGCAAUCACAUGGCAGCUAGUUUUAUUUCUACAGUUUGUGGUGCAUAUCUGCUGAACCAAAAGGUAGCCCGAAAAAAAAAAAAAACGUAGGCUACAAAACACCUGACUUAAACUGACUUAUUGAAACUAAAGAGGUUUUUUAAAUCCGUGUAAAUACUGAACAAACCAAAUUUGUUAGUGUUCUACUAAUCUAAUCUUAGCACUGAAGAAAAACUGUAAAGCAUGAUUAACACUAUGAACUGCUACGUUUAAAGUCAUUAAGGUCUUUCAUCUCUGCACUCAAAAUCUCCAGCCCAUGUUCUACUUUCACGCAGUCUAUUUACAUCAAACGUGUUCAAAGAAUUCUAAAAUUGAUAAAGGAUACUAGUUGUACUCUAAAUGAGAAGAAAGAAAGAAAAUAACAUUCAGUGCAAACAUACAAAGAUCUGGAAAGAUUUUAAAUAUGUUUUAAUUCAAAUGACAAAACGUUUCAUGUGAUUCUGUGUAGUUAUCAUGUGCCAAAAUUGGAGUUAUUUUAUAUUUCAUGAAGAUAAUUUCAGUUUAAAUUAGACUAAGAUAAAAAUGUCCAGGAAUAAUAAUAAUGAUCUGUGACUAUGCGUGUAAUGGUAUACAUGUCAUACAUGUUUAUUGUUCCUUCUCAUAGCACUAAUAAUAAGCAGCAGCAGCAGCGUGAAGUACCACUACUAAACUAAACACUACCAUGAACUGAAGGCUCACCAAUCAGCUCUUUCACCUGUGUAUUGGAAUAGACCUGACACCGUUUCAGCCCAGAUUUAAAGAACAAG
rnacentral:lncRNA from 1 species